GAGACUCUGUGCGCGUGCAUAUCAAUAAGCGGAGGAAAAGGAAACUAACAAGGAUUCCCUUAGUAACGGCGAGUGAAGCGGGAAGAGCUCAGAUUUGAAAUCUUCAAGGUUCUACCUUGACGAAUUGUAGUUUAAAGAAGUGUUUUCUGUUAGAUGAGUAGCAAAAGUUCCUUGGAAUGGGACAUCAUAGAGGGUGAGAAUCCCGUAUUUGGUUAUUCAUUCUAGCUUUGUGAUACACUUUCAAAGAGUCGGAUUGUUUGGGAAUAGCAGUCCAAAAUGGGUGGUAAAUUUCAUCUAAAGCUAAAUAUUGGCGAGAGACCGAUAGCGAACAAGUACCGUGAGGGAAAGAUGAAAAGAACUUUGAAAAGAGAGUUAAACAGUACGUGAAAUUGUCAAAAGGGAAGCGUUUGACACCAGUGUUGUUUUUCCGAAAAUCAAUUACGAAUGGCUUGAUUUUGUGUUGUAUUGACCUUAUCAGCUUUCUUCACUUUUUUCGAGUCUUUCUUAAUGCACUUUUCGGUUAACAAGUCAACAUCAAUUUCUUUUGUUGUAAAAGAGUAUUCGGAAGGUGGCUUUCUUUUCGGAGAAAGUGUUUAUAGCCCUAUACUUCUACAAUCGGAGAGAUUGAGGUCUGCAGCGUAGAUCCUUCGGGGUUAGAUACACUUUGUGCUAAGUUGUAGCUUUUCAUAGACAACUUGUUGACUAUGUUUAGUCAUGCGGCUUACUCGCUUAUGCUAUUUUACCUACGCUUAGGAUGUUGACUGAUAUGUAGUCGUA
rnacentral:rRNA from 1 species